CAACUACUUUCUCCAUCCCAUAUUAAGUGACUUUCUAUUACAUGUAUCUAGAAACUUUUUAGAAAUAGAUACAUCCAUAUUUGGAUAAAUUUGAGUCACUUAAUGUGAGACGGAGGAAGUACAAC
rnacentral:pre_miRNA from 1 species